rfam:Adlercreutzia equolifaciens DSM 19450 DNA, complete genome.
GGAGAAAACUCUGGAGAACUCUUAAGUGAGUGCCGAAGGUGCAAGGCUUGCGCGCGGACGACCUCCGCAGGCAAGCUGAAUCUCUCAGGCAAACGGACAGAGCGAUGACG